UCCAGGGCGUAAACGCUGCAGGCUUGGUGUUGGGGGUACUACGGGUGCCCCCAGUGCCGGAGAGAAGUUGUUAAGCCUGCCACCUGGGGAGUAUGCUCGCAAGAGUGAAACUUAAAGGAAUUGGCGGGGGAGCACAGCAACGGGUGGAGCGUGCGGUUCAAUUGGAUUCAACGCCGGAAAACUCACCGGGGGCGACGGCCACAUGAAGGCCAGCCUGACGAGCUUGCCAGAUU
rnacentral:rRNA from 1 species